AUCUUGCUGUAGAUCUGUGUAUAGCUGAAGUAUUCUGAAGCUGUGCCCAGCAGCACUUCAGCAGAAGAAAGGAGCAUCCUUGAUGCGGAGUACUCUGAGUUAGAUUUCAUCUUGACUUCUCAUUCUAACAAACACUGAACCCAGGUGAAGCUUGUGGAAUCUUUCUGCACCAGCUGCCAGCAGCCUGACUCUCUCAGUGAGAGCUCUAAAGAGCAACAGGUGGGACCUUCCCAAGGCACGCUGGUAUGAGCAGCACUUUGUGGAGAUGAAUUCAAGCUUACUUUAUAGUGAGUUACAGGUCAGUUCUGUAAAUGCUUAGCUGUAUGCCGAAGCAUGAAUUCUGACGGACCCACUGUUGGUUUUGAAUUCAAGCUUGCCUUUACGUGGCCUCGAAAAACCUUCUACUUGGGUGUAUAUUUUUCUACACAAACCCACGAGAGGGCAGCAGACAGCAAGGGUUCGGGCAGUGCCUCACUGCAGGCAGCUCAGGCAGCACCCAGCAAACGGGGAACGAAGCUGGUCGUUGGUUACAGAGCAUUAAAACCAUCUCGAGUCGGGUCUGGAAAGAAAAUGUGAUAGAUACUGUAAUUUUAGAUGAACUUUGUCUCUGACAUUGGAAUCUGCCACUCUCCUUUGGCUCCUGUUUUUACAUCUGCAAGGGCUGUGUAUUUAUUGAAAGGAGGAUGGAAGCAAGCUGGGUUUAAAAACAAUUAUCAUGAUAGUAAAGGUGCUGUGGAUAUAAUGGAAAAAAUAUAGUGAAAUAAAAAUUGUGAAAAUUAAUGGUAAUGAAUUGUAACAACACACUUGACAGCUAUUUCAAGGCUUGAAAUAGCACAGAUAAUUAGACAACUGAGAAGUUGCUACAGCACGUAUGGUUUUGUUCAUACUCAGAUCAUUUUAUCUUAUUAAAAAACAUGAAUUCAGAGACUGUUGCAAUCACUGGAACAACUGAACUACUUAUAUGCAAUUGGAAUUUCUCACUUAGGCCCAAUAGCGUGGCAUGCUAUGUUUCUGAAUGUAGUAUUUCAUUAAUUAGAAAUUAAAUCACCCAUGCUUGUGACAGUAACACAUUGGCUUUGUAAUGUAGUGAUAAUGAAAAGGAUGCAUCUGAUGUACAAAAAAUUCAGCAUGCCUGUGUGGUUGAAUUGUUUUAAUUCUGAGUGUUAAUAGAUGGAUUUUUUUCUGUGAGUUAAGACCUAAAUAUUUAAUGUUCUUCUCUCAUAGAAGGUGACUUUCUGAAUAUUGAUUAGUCAGUGAACUAAUGAAACUAAACAAAGAUCUAAACCAACAUGCGAUGGGGUCUUUUAAGCAUUUUACAGGCACAACAUGCAUUUUUGUAUGCCCCUCUUACUUUUCUGUGGUAGCAGAUGCUAAACCUCACUUGUAACACAUGUGGUUUACCUUCAGUCCUUCAGUGAUAGUAUAGUGGAAAUGCUGAGUCAUGGCUUGAAGCAG
ensembl:lncRNA